rnacentral:lncRNA from 1 species
GGGAGAGACAGCGGGAGGAAGAGCCAGGAAAGAGGAAGCUGAGAGAGAAGGAGGUGGGGUCGGGGGAAGGCAGGUGGAGUUGGAGGCUCUGAGCCUGCCCCCCUCCCCCGCCCUUUCCUAGAGUUUCUGUUCUAGGGUUCUGGGAGUCUAAAAGCCCCAGGGCAUCAGUCUUGCCAGGGUGCUCUCGUUUGCCCUCAGAGGAGGGAGCGGAGGACAGACUUGCACAGCUGAGCAGCCUCCCUGAAGAGGGAGGCAUGUUUCUCUGAGGCCUCGUGGGCAAAGGAUGGAGGAGAGAAAGCUGAGCUCAAUUAGGAAGGAUGCUAUUCAAAGACGCUCCCCACCUCUGCAUGGAUGGAUGGGAUGGGUGUGUACAUGCGGUGAGUGGAGCUGUGGGCCCAGCAAGCCUCUGCCCGGAGGGGCUGCCUCUCCGGUGAGCACCGAAGGCAGUGAUUCAUCCAGGGAUCAUCAGAGAGAGCCUGCUGGCGAAGGUGGCAUUGUUCUUCCCAAGCUUUGA